rnacentral:lncRNA from 1 species
CAAUGGCCGACAGAGGCUCAUGCCUGUGGCGGUGGCUUGGCGAUGACGACGGGGAAGUCGAUGACGACCACCUUCUCGAGUGCGGCCAUGAACGUGGCGGCGAACGCGGCGUGCUUCUCGUGGGCCAUGUAGGCGGUGAGGUCGUCGGCGGAGGCGAAGGUGAGCGAGAAGACGUGUGUGAAGCCCUGCGUCAGCAUCUCCUGGUUCAGCACGUCCUUCCCCCUGCAACAACAGUUUCAAUGUUCAUUCAUCCAUUCAUGGAGGCCAUGAACGCAUUGCAAUCGGCAGUAAGCAUGUGAUGAAUCGUGAUCCUGGACAUGGCAAUUAUUCAGUAAAGCACUAUGUGCAGCCUCUGAAAGUCUGAAGAAGUUGGGGCAGACACUUAUGUGCUGAAUGACUGAUAAAAAGUUUGCUUCUAGUACGUACGUGUUACUACUACUUGAGCAUGCAGUGCAGUGUAAGCUUCACGAAAGGAAAACAGAAAGGUGAAGGCAAAGGCAGCUCCAUCAUGGGAUGAGUGUACCACUCGAAG